UACGUAGGAUGCAAGCGUUGUCCGGAAUUAUUGGGCGUAAAGAGCUCGUAGGCGGCUUGAUAAGUCGGAUGUGAAACCUCCAGGCUCAACCUGGAGUCGCCAUCCGAUACUGUCAUGGCUAGAGUCCGGUAGGGGCCCACGGAAUUCCUGGUGUAGCGGUGAAAUGCGCAGAUAUCAGGAGGAACACCGGUGGCGAAGGCGGUGGGCUGGGCCGGCACUGACGCUGAGGAGCGAAAGCGUGGGGAGCGAACAGG
rnacentral:rRNA from 1 species